rnacentral:SRP_RNA from 1 species
GCUGGGUGUGGUGGUGCAUGCCUAUAAUCCCAGCUACUUGGGAGGCUGAGGCAGGAGAAUUGCUUGAACCUGGGAGCUGCAGGUUGCAGUGAGCAAAGAUUGUGCCACUGCACUCCAGCCUGGGUGACAGAGAGAGAUUCUGUCUCAA